AGAGCGAACGCUGGCGGCAGGCCUAACACAUGCAAGUCGAGCGCCCCGCAAGGGGAGCGGCAGACGGGAGAGUAACACGUGGGAACGUACCCUUCAGUUCGGAACAACCCAGGGAAACUUGGGCUAAUACCGAAUACGUCCGUAAGGAGAAAGAUUUAUCGCUGAAGGAUCGGCCCGCGUCUGAUUAGCUUGUUGGUGAGGUAACGGCUCACCAAGGCUACGAUCAGUAGCUGGUCUGAGAGGAUGAUCAGCCUCACUGGGACUGAGACACGGCCCAGACUCCUACGGGAGGCAGCAGUGGGGAAUAUUGGACAAUGGGCGCAAGCCUGAUCCAGCCAUGCCGCGUGGAUGAUGAAGGCCUUAGGGUUGUAAAGUCCUUUCGACGGGGAAGAUAAUGACGGUACCGUAGAAGACGCCCGGCUAACUCGCGCCAGCAGCCGC
rnacentral:rRNA from 1 species